CAGAGGGACCUGGAGGAGCUGGGUGGGGACAAACCUAAGGGGCUUCAACAAGGGCAGGUGUAGGGUCCUGCACCCGGGAGGAACAACCCAGCACGGGCUGGGGGUGACCCGCUGAGAGCAGCUCUGCAGAGAAGGACCUGGGGGUGCUGGGGGAUGGCAAACUGUCCCUGAGCCAGCAGAGUGUCCUGGGGCCGGGGGACCCUGGGGGCAGCGGGGGGAGCGUGGCCAGCGGGGCAGGGAGGGAUCCUGCCCCUCUGCUGGGGGGCUGUGUCCAGCUCUGGGACAAGAAGGACAAGGAGCUGCUGGGGAGAGUCCAGUGGAGGCCCCAAAGAUGAUUUGGGGUCUGGAGCUUCUCUGGUGAGGAGAGACUGUGGGAGCUGGGCUUGGUUAAUCCAGAGA